rnacentral:misc_RNA from 1 species
GAGAGAGAGAGAGAGAGAGAGUACAAUAAAAUGAAGUCAUCCAUGCAAUAAUGCAAACUUAUGAUAUUCCCAGCACAAAUUUCAGAAGUAUCAUUAUCAUUUAAAAGAACAGAGACAGCCACAGACCAAAAUUUCAUACCACUGCACCCCAAAACUCAUAGCUAAAAUUUCAUACCACUGCACCCCAAAACUCAUAGCUAAACUGCCUUCUCACUCUAAAAUACUCACCCCACAGGAAUGCAUGCAAAUGUACACACAAAGCCAUGCACACAAUUUACAACACAAUAUGCUUCUCAAUGUCCAGUUCAUAAUAUCAUAUUUAUAAGAUUCAAGCAUCAUAGUGUCAUAUAUUAAGGUUUUAAUCAAAGGACAAUCACUAAAAGCUUUUCAAAUUAUUUAAAGCAAUAGUUACUACAUUAUAUUGGUAAAAAAAAAAAAAAGUUUCUUUUGGGUCCACUACAUUUUCUGGAGAGAAAG